ACCGUCGUCCUCUUCCUACGGGACCGGGAGGGCGAAAAUGUCAUCGCUCCAAAUCCAUACAUUCUUCCCCAAACCCUUCUCCCAUUUCUUCGCCGCCAACUCCCCCUUCUUCCCACUCUUCUUUCACUCCCGAUGCCCUAACUCUUCCUCCUUUACCUCCUCCCUCUAUCGGAGAAACCCUCGCCGCCGCCCAAAACCGUUCGUCCCCUUAAAAGCGUCAGCCACUCCCGACCCGAGCCCUAACUCGAACUCCGGUCCCGACCCCAGACCUAGCCAUAACCCGACGAAGCCAAAAGGUCGGCGUCCGAAGCCCAAGUCCCCGGCGGGAGGAACCGCCACCGCGGACUCCGGCGACGCCUUCCCGUCCACGAUCCCACGGAAGCCGCGGCGCGGCCGGCGGAGUGAGACGGCGGCGGUGGAGGACUUCGUUCGGGACCGGCUCGACCUGACCUUCGCCUCUAUCCGGGAGCAGAACGCCGGGGUUUUGGAGGGGAAAGAGGAGGUCUUAAAGCAGAGGACUUUGGAAGAGGAGGAGGAGGAGGAGAGCUCGGAGGGUGGGGGGAAGGAGGUGGUGGAAGAGGAGGAUCCAGACUGGCCUUUGGAUGCGGAUAUCGGGUGGGGGAUCAGGGCAUCGGAAUACUUUGAGAAGCAUCCAAUCAAGAAUGUGGUCGUCGAUGGGGUGGAGAUCGACUGGGAGGGAGAGAUGGAUGAGGGGUGGGUGAAAGAGAUCAACUGCUUGGAGUGGGAGACCUUUGCCUUCCAUCCCAGCCCUCUCGUGGUUCUAGUCUUUGAGCGCUACAGAAGGGCAGCUGAUAACUGGAGGCUUUUGAAGGAGCUGGAGAAGGCAGCUAAGGUAUAUUGGAAUGCUAAAGAUCGACUGCCUCCUAGAACAGUCAAGAUUGAUAUUAAUAUCGAGACAGACUUAGCUUAUGCUCUUAAAGUGAAAGAAUGCCCACAACUAUUAUUCCUAAAGGGAAACAGGAUUUUGUACAGGGAGAAAGGUGUGAACAUGUUAUUGGAAACCAUCUUAGCUGAAAAAAUGCUGCGACCCUUAUCCAUUGUUUGGCUUUUGGGCAUGCAGAACUCAGAACGGCAGAUGAAUUGGUGCAAAUGAUUGCACAUUUCUACUAUAACGCAAAGAGACCAUCAUGGAUUGAUCCUGCAGAAGUUGCUCCUCCAUUUUGAUUUGUUCGUGAUUCAGGGAUAUACAGCUAUCAUGGUUCAUGAGACCUCCAUUAAUAGAAAGGAACCAGCUUUCGAUCACUCAAAGUUAUCGUGCAGGAGAAACAUGUCAAGAUUCUGUCAUCAACUGAUCCUGCAUCCAUGCAUCGAAAUAAAGAUUUCAUGUCAUCAGGUAGUCGAGAAACUUGUCAAACAGGAGGUAUGCAUAUAAAGAGGCAGUCAAACGUAUGGAUUUAGAUUGCAUGACAUUCACAGACGCGGUCUCAUCAGCAAGUCCAUCGAUAAGAUUAAACAAUUAUUUGACCGUAUUAUAAAUAACUGAGAUUGGCAUACUUCCAGAUUGAAAGCAAUGUUCGUGUAUUUCUAGCAAGCGUGUGCAUUUGCAAGAAUUAUGGGAAGAAAAAAAUUCUUCAAACAAUUCUGUUUGUUCGCGCAGAUUGUACGGGAAGGGGCUUGGAGAGAGAACACAGUUGACAUUACACAGCUAAAUUGCUCGUUUUAUGCUUGUACAUGUCUAAUCGUGUCCAUAAUUACUGCUAAAAUUGUAUAUAAAAGGAACUGAAUGCUGCAGCUAGCUGCUGUUUGGCCUGUU